UACGAAGGGGGCUAGCGUUGCUCGGAAUCACUGGGCGUAAAGCGCACGUAGGCGGAUUGCUAAGUCAGGGGUGAAAUCCUGGAGCUCAACUCCAGAACUGCCUUUGAUACUGGCGAUCUUGAGUUCGGGAGAGGUGAGUGGAACUGCGAGUGUAGAGGUGAAAUUCGUAGAUAUUCGCAAGAACACCAGUGGCGAAGGCGGCUCACUGGCCCGAUACUGACGCUGAGGCACGAAAGCGUGGGGAGCAAACAGG
rnacentral:rRNA from 1 species